rnacentral:tRNA from 1 species
AAUGAGAUGGCUGAUAGAGGCGAUAAAUUGUAAAUUUAUUUAGGAAAAUAAAAUCUCUCAUUA